CCUACGGGUGGCUGCAGUGGGGAAUAUUGGACAAUGGGGGCAACCCUGAUCCAGCCAUGCCGCGUGUGUGAAGAAGGCCCUCGGGUUGUAAAGCACUUUCAGUGAGGAAGAACGCCUGGUGGUUAAUACCCAUCAGGAAAGACAUCACUCACAGAAGAAGCACCGGCUAACUCCGUGCCAGCAGCCGCGGUAAUACGGAGGGUGCGAGCGUUAAUCGGAAUUACUGGGCGUAAAGCGCGCGUAGGUGGCUUGAUAAGCCGGUUGUGAAAGCCCCGGGCUCAACCUGGGAGCGGCAUCCGGAACUGUCAAGCUAGAGUGCAGGAGAGGAAGGUAGAAUUCCCGGUGUAGCGGUGAAAUGCGUAGAGAUCGGGAGGAAUACCAGUGGCGAAGGCGGCCUUCUGGACUGACACUGACACUGAGGUGCGAAAGCGUGGGUAGCAAACAGGAUUAGAUACCCGAGUAGUC
rnacentral:rRNA from 1 species